GUAAAUAUUAAAACCAACAAGCAACAGCGCGCAAAGGCGCGCGCAAAGGACUAGUUAAUGCUAUCGCCGGCCUCAUCCCUCUCUCUCUGCUUCCUCCUUCCCGAACUGAGCCCUCGAGCUCGAGCAGUUGCCGUUGCUGGCCAAAAUCCGCCGGCCACGCCUCGUCCCCUUUCGAUUCCUCACGCCCAGAGCCUCCACACCACCCCUUCCACCUUCCCCGGCGUUCACACGAACCCCUCCCUGGCCGAAUCGACCUGAAUCGGCCAGCCACUCGCCAGCCGCCAUUAAAGCUCUGCUCGGAGCUCCAGCCUCCCGUCGAUCCGCUUCUCCGGCCCUCGUCUGCCCAAAUCGACCCCAAAAAUAGGAUCGUGGUGAGCCCCUCGUCCUUCUGGCCAUCUUCCCCCGCUUGUCCACCGGCGCCGGAACGCGGGCGCGCCACCGUCGGGCGCACGUCGUGGGCCCGCGCUGCUGGGUCGCUCGCCUGUCAGGAACGAGCAAGAGUGGAGAGUUUCGUGAAGGAGAAGCGCAGAGAAGGAACCAGGGAUACAAUCUGGAGCGAGAAGGUAGCAGUAAUUUCAAUCCAUCGUCGAAGUUCACGGUAGAGGAGCAUAGGCACCGCCGGAGAGACACAGUUACCAACUAGGGUUUACUGGUUUUACGUCUUCGAUAAUUAUUAUUUCAGUUGUACAUAAUUUUAUGGCCUAGACUAAAAAUAGUUAACCUUAUUAUUUUAACAAUAUUUAAUGUUAUAAAACUUUCAUUGAUACUGGCUUUACUGAUUGGAGUCAACACCUAAAUUGCAUGACGUGGCUCAAAUAGGAAUAAAUAGAAUAAAAGCGAAGGGUACAGCUUAACGUUCAAAAAAAGAUAAAAGUCUUGGAUCUCCAUCGCACAGUUCCCAACGAAGUCACUGAGUCGUCCCUCUUGGCGCCGACUUUCACUAAGCAGCACAAAGACUGAUGAAACGCCCAUUCAGGUAGAGAGAUGAUGUAUCCUAAUUAUUCCUAACAAUGCCCCCUUUUCGAGAUCCUUGUCCUCUAGGAAGAAAGGAAGGAAACAACUUGCAGAGAAAGUCAGUCAGGGUCUUCCCAUGUCGCCAGUGAUGGAGGAAGAUUUAUCCAUUGUAUCAGCCACUGCACAAUAGGCUCAUUGUUUCUUGGUAUCAUCUAUAUUCCAGAAUUUCCAUUGGAGCCACUUUGAUAUUGCCAUGUUGGUCAACUAAUGGUAGAUGCGGUGUCGGAAUAAUUUGAGCCCCAAUGUGCUUCUUCAGUUGACUGGCAUGAAAGACUAGGUGCAACAGCUUCAAGGAGUUGUGAAUGCUCAAGGGGGUCUGUCAAUAAGGUUGCAGUUUGAGGUAGACCAUAUCUCCCACAAGAAAUUCUCUUUUCAGAUCUCUGUCUAUUGGCUUGAUGUUUAAUUCUAGAUUGAACUUUUGAAAGAUUGUCCUUGAUGAGUUGAGUUUGCAAGUUCUAAGAAUUUGCCUUGCACUAUCAUUUGGCCGAAUUUGCCUUGCACUAUCAUUUGGCCAAUCAGGAAAUACUACUUCUACUACCAUGGUUGGAGGAAAUCCAUAGAGUACUUGAAAUGGUGUCAUGUUCAGAGAGGUAUGGUAAGAGGUGUUGAACCACCAUUCAGCUAGGGACAGCCAAAUGAAACCAUCUUUUUGUAACACUGAAACAUAUGUAUGUCAAAUAAUUUGCUAAGCAUUGCCACUAUUUAGAUU